UACGGGGGGGGCAAGCGUUGUUCGGAAUUACUGGGCGUAAAGAGCGCGCAGGCGGUCGAUCAAGUCGAGUGUGAAAGCCCCCGGCUCAACUGGGGAGGGUCAUUCGAUACUGAUCGACUCGAAGGCAGGAGAGGGUAGUGGAAUUCCCGGUGUAGUGGUGAAAUGCGUAGAUAUCGGGAGGAACACCAGUGGCGAAGGCGACUACCUGGCCUGUUCUUGACGCUGAGGCGCGAAAGCUAGGGGAGCAAACGGG
rnacentral:rRNA from 1 species